CCUACGGGAGGCAGCAGUAGGGAAUCUUCCACAAUGGGCGAAAGCCUGAUGGAGCAACGCCGCGUGGGUGAAGAAGGUCUUCGGAUCGUAAAACCCUGUUGUUAGAGAAGAAAGUGCGUGAGAGUAACUGUUCACGUUUCGACGGUAUCUAACCAGAAAGCCACGGCUAACUACGUGCCAGCAGCUGCGGGAAUACGGAGGUGGCAAGCGUUAUCCGGAUUUAUUGGGCGUAAAGGGAACGCAGGCGGUCUUUUAAGUCUGAUGGGAAAGCCUUCGGGUUAACCGGAGUAGUGCAUUGGAAACUGGGAGACUUGAGUGCAGAAGAGGAGAGUGGAACUCCAUGUGUAGCGGUGAAAUGCGUAGAUAUAUGGAAGAACACCAGUGGCGAAAGCGGCUCUCUGGUCUGUAACUGACGCUGAGGUUCGAAAGCGUGGGUAGCAAACAGGAUUAGAUACCCUGGUAGUC
rnacentral:rRNA from 1 species